rnacentral:rRNA from 1 species
GUUGAGGCAUGCAAGGUCGCACGAGAACGGGGUUAGCAAUACUCCUAGUAAAAGUGGCGGAAAGGGUGAGGAAUGGGUAGAUAACGUUACCCUUGAGAUGGGCAUAACGGCUCGAAAAGAGCCGCUUAAUUCCCGAUAAGACCCACAGGAUGGGCAUUCCCAUCAGAGGUCAAAAGGCCGGGGAUCUUCGGACCUGGCGCCUCAUGGAUCGGUCUACUCCCUACCAGCUAGUUGGUGAGGGUAACGGCCCACCAAGGCUGCGACGGGUACCCGGGCUGAGAGGCCUGGUCCGGGCAACAUCGGCACUGAGACAACUGGCCGGACACCUACGGGUGGCUGCCAGUUUCGGAAUAUUUCGGCAAUGGGCGAAAGCCUGACCGAGCGACGCCGCGUUGCCGGGGAUGGAAGGCCCUUUGGGUUGUAAACCGCUGUCACAGGUGAGCAAAUUCAUUCUGGGUGAACAAUCCAGGAUGUUGAGUUGAGCUUGAGAGGAAGCCCCCGCUAAUCACACGUGCCAGCCAGCGGCGGUAAUACGUGAGGGGCGAACGUUGUUCGGUGUCACUGGGCUUAAAGGGGCGCGUAGGUGGGCUGCGUAAGGUAAGGUGUGAAAGCCCUCGGCUUUACCCGGGGAAUUGCGGCCUUAUAACUGCGUAGCUUGGAGGAUUUUCAGGGGAAGGGGGAACUCCAGGUGUAGCGGUGAAAUGCGGCAGAUUAUCCUGGGGGAAGGCCGGCGGCGGAAGGCGCCCUUCUCUGGGGAAAUUCCUGACACUGAGGGCGCGAAAGCGGGGGGAGCAAACAGGAUUAGAUACCCUGGUAGUCCACGCCCUAAACGAUGGAUACUAAGUAGGGGACCCUGCAAGGGUUUCCUUGCCGGAGCAAAAGCGUUAAGUAUCCCGCCUGGGGAGUAUGGUGCGCAAGGCUGAAACUCAAAAGGAAUUGAACGGGGGGCUCACACAAGCGGUGGAGCAUGUUGGCUUAAUAUUCGAUGCAACCGCGAAGAACCUUACCCGGGCUCGAAGCGUACGGAUUAGUUCUAUGAAAGUAGAAUGACACCUUAAACCGGUGGAAACGUACGAAGGUGUUGCAUGGCUGUCGUCAGCUCGUGUCGUGAGAUGUCGGGUUAAGUCCCUUUAACGAGCGAAACCCUUGUCCUUAGUUGCCAGGCGGGUCCAUGCCGGGAACUCUAAGGAGACUGGCCGGUGUUAAAACCGGAGGGAAGGUGGGGAUGGACGUCAAGUCAUCAUGGGCCCUUUACGUCCGGGGCGGCAAACGUGCUACAAAUGGUCCGUUACAAGCGCGAAGCAAGGCCGCGAGGCGGAGCAAGUCGCUUUAAAAACACGGCCCCCAGUUCGGAUUGGGAGGCUGCAAUUCGGCCCCCAUGAAGCCCGGAAUCGCUAGUAAUCGGGGGAUCAGCCACGCCCCGGUGAAUAUGUUCCUGAGCCUUGUACACACCGCCCGUCAAGCCACGGAAAGCUGGGGGUACCCGAAGUCCGCCACAAGCGCCCCACGGUAAAAACCAGUGAUUGGGACU